rnacentral:rRNA from 1 species
AUUGAACGCUGGCGGCAGGCCUAACACAUGCAAGUCGAACGGUAGCACAGAGAGCUUGCUCUCGGGUGACGAGUGGCGGACGGGUGAGUAACGUCUGGGAAACUGCCCGAUGGAGGGGGAUAACUACUGGAAACGGUAGCUAAUACCGCAUAACGUCGCAAGACCAAAGUGGGGGGCCUUCGGGCCUCACACCAUCGGAUGUGCCCAGAUGGGAUUAGCUAGUAGGUGGGGUAAUGGCUCACCUAGGCGACGAUCCCUAGCUGGUCUGAGAGGAUGACCAGCCACGCUGGAACUGAGACACGGUCCAGACUCCUACGGGAGGCAGCAGUGGGGAAUAUUGCACAAUGGGCGCAAGCCUGAUGCAGCCAUGCCGCGUGUAUGAAGAAGGCCUUCGGGUUGUAAAGUACUUUCAGCGGGGAGGAAGGCGGUGAAGUUAAUAACUUCACCGAUUGACGUUACCCGCAGAAGAAGCACCGGCUAACUCCGUGCCAGCCGCCGCGGUAA